rnacentral:rRNA from 1 species
GGAGUUAAGAAAUGGUAGCGGUGAAAUGCCGUUGCCUUGACAUUAGGCCCAAAGGAAGCACCGGCUAACUCUGUGCCAGCAGCCGCGGUAAGACAGAGGGUGCAAACGUUGCUCGGAAUCACUGGGCAUAAAGCGCACGUAGGCGGCCACGUAAGUGCGGUGUGAAAGCCCCCGGCUCAACCGGGGAAUUGCAUCGCAUACUGCGUGGCUAGAGCUUGAGAGGGGAGAGUG